GACGAACGCUGGCGGCGUGCUUAACACAUGCAAGUCGAGCGGAAAGGCCCUUCGGGUCUAGUGGCGCACGGGUGCGUAACGCGUGGGAAUCUGCCCUUGGGUUCGGAAUAACAGUUAGAAAUGACUGCUAAUACCGAAUGAUGUCGUAAGACCAAAGAUUCAUCGCCCAGGGAUGAGCCCGCGUAGGAUUAGCUAGUUGGUGUGGUAAAGCGCACCAAGGCGACGAUCCUUAGCUGGUCUGAGAGGAUGAUCAGCCACACUGGGACUGAGACACGGCCCAGACUCCUACGGGAGGCAGCAGUGGGGAAUAUUGGACAAUGGGCGAAAGCCUGAUCCAGCAAUGCCGCGUGAGUGAUGAAGGCCUUAGGGUUGUAAAGCUCUUUUACCCGGGAU
rnacentral:rRNA from 1 species